rnacentral:tRNA from 1 species
GUCGUGGCUCAGCGGUAGAGCACUGGCCUAGCAUGUGCAAGGUCCUGGGUUUGAUCCUCAGCACGACA